GAUGAACGCUGACAGCAUGCUUAACACAUGCAAGUCGAUGGGGAAGUGGUGCUUGCACCAUGGUAACCAUGGCGGACGGGUGAGUAACACGUAAGGAACUUACCUGCGGGACCGGGAUAACAGCAGGAAACUGCUGACAAGACCGGAUAAGGUCAUUAAGCUGCAUAGCUUAGUGAUGAAAGGAGACGCCUGCGGAGAGCCUUGCGUCCUAUUAGCUAGUUGGAGGGGUAACGGCCCACCAAGGCGAAGAUAGGUAGCCGGCCUGAGAGGGUGGACGGCCACAAGGGGACUGAGAUACGGCCCUUACUCCUACGGGAGGCAGCAGUGGGGAAUAUUGGACAAUGGGGGCAACCCUGAUCCAGCAAUUCUGUGUGCACGAAGACGGUUUUCGGAUUGUAAAGUGCUUUCAGCAGGGAAGAAGGAAGUGACGGUACCUGCAGAAGAAGCGACGGCUAAAUACGUG
rnacentral:rRNA from 1 species